UCAGCGGCAGUGGGCGUCGGCUCAUGCUGGAGGCGAAGAGGAGACGACGAUGACGACGAGUGAGGCGAUGUCAUGGCUUAGGGGGUGAUUGUUGGCGCAUAAGCCAUGUCCCCGCCGAGGUGACCGGUGUCGGGCGUGCCUGUCCGGUCCGUGGCCGCGUCCGCGUCGAGCCCAUGUUUAGGCAUAGUCUGACCUUGGUCUGGCCAUGGUCCGACUAGUGUAUGGCUUGUGUGCGUGCGUGUGUGUGGGGCGCGGGGUGUGUGUCUGUGUGCGCACCUGUUGCGUGGGUAGUUGGCGAUAGUGGCGGGGUGACCGCGGCGUUCUGCCGGCCGCGUUGAUCGCGUUGGUGCGCGUCGGGUGCGUGAGCUAGGGCGUGCGGAGCGUGCGGGCGUGGAGGAGUGGGGAGCGCGACGUCGUGUGGGCGCGCCCGUGUAUAAAGCUCCACCCCGCGUACUGUUGUUUGUGUGGGGCUCGAGUUCGUGCUCGAGGAAGACGCCGUUCGUGUGGCAGGCGUUCGUGCGCCGGAACCACCGUGUCUUGUGUCUCCCUCCUUUCUUCUUCCUCUGAUCGUUCUAGCGAGAGUACAGAGAGAGAGAGAGAGAGUUCCGGUGAGAGGGAGGGCUAGGGGUACCGUGGCGCGCGGUGGCGUCCGCGGCACGCGCGGCGAGCACGUCGGAUAUGGAGGCUGCAGCGCGCGGCGAGCGCGUGGCGAGCGCUACGCGCGGCGACUCCACGGUGGUGCGGACUGAUGUCGUGCACGCGAAGAGCACAGCAGUCGCGGAGACGAGGAGGUCGCGGAGGAGCUGUGUGGUGGCGCAGAAGUCGCGGCGGCUGGGCGCGACAACUGUGGGGGCACGGAAACAUGGCGCGACGGCGCACGGGACUGCGGGCUGCUGCAGCGGCAGUGGGCGUCGGCUCGUGCUGGAGGCGCAGAGGAGACGACGACGACGAGUCAGGUGAUGUCAUGGCUUAGGGGGUGAUUCUUGGCGCUUAAGCCAUGUCCCUGCCGAGGUGACCGGUGUCGGGCGUGCCAGUCCGGUCCGUGGCCGCGUCGAGCCAAUGUUUAGGCAUAGUCUGACCUUGGUCUGGCCAUGGUCCGACUAGUGUAUGGCUUGUGUGCGUGCGUGUGUGUGUGGCGCGGGGUGUGCGUCUGUGUGCGCACCUGUUGCGUGGGUAAUUGGCGAUAGUGGCGGGGGUGACCGCGGCGUUCUAUUGGAGCCCGGCCGCGUUGAUCGCGUUGGUGCGCGACGGGUGCGUGAGCUAGGGCGUGCGGAGCGU
rnacentral:lncRNA from 1 species